rnacentral:rRNA from 1 species
AGCCACCAUUUAAAGAGUGCGUAAUAGCUCACUGGUCGAGAGACGCUGCGCCGAAAAUGUCCGGGGCUCAAGCACGGAACCGAAGCUAUGGCAUGAUAGCAAUAUCAUGGGUAGGGGAGCGUUCUUAUAAGGAAGAAGCAUGACCGGAAGGACAUGUGGACAAAUAAGAAGUGAGAAUGCCGGUAUGAGUAUCGAAAAGAAAGGUGAGAAUCCUUUCCACCGAAAGCCCGAGGGUUCCUGAGCAACGAUCGUCGACUCAGGGUAAGUCGGGACCUAAGCCGAGGCGGAAAGCGUAGGCGAUGGACAACAGGUUGAAAUUCCUGUACCGGAUCAAGUCGAUUGAGCGAAGGAGCGACGCAGGAGGGCACAUGAUCGCGCGGCUGGAAGAGCGCGUCCAAGUGCGUAUGUUGCAGCAGAGGAAAACCCCUGCAGCUAAAAGCAGAGACAUGAAGGGGAGUUAAAGGAAACUUUGACGAACUCAUGAAUCCCACACUGCCAAGAAAAACUUCUAGCGAGACAAGAUCCGCCCGUACCGUAAACCGACACAGGUAGGCGGGGAGAGAAUCCUAAGGUGCGCGGGAAAACCCUCGUUAAGGAACUCGGCAAAUUGCAUCCGUAACCUAGGGAGAAGGAUGGCCCCCGGUCAGUGAAGAGCAGAAACGCUCAGAGCUAAAAGGGGCGGCAGAAAAGAGGCCCAAGCAACUGUUUACCAAAAACACAGGUGCCUGCGAAAGCGAAAGCUGAAGUAUAGGUGCUGACGCCUGCCCGGUGCCGGAAGGUUAAGGAGAGAAGUUAGCGAAAGCGAAGCAUCGAACUGAAGCCCCGGUGAACGGCGGCCGUAACUAUAACGGUCCUAAGGUAGCGAAAUUCCUUGUCGGGUAAGUUCCGACCCGCAUGAAAGGCGUAAUGAUUUGGGCACUGUCUCAACGAGGGGCCCGGUGAAAUUGAAAUACCUGUGAAGAUGCAGGUUACCCGCGACUGGACAGAAAGACCCCAUGGAGCUUCACUGCAGCUUGAGAUUGAAUCCCGGUGACAGAUGCACAGGAUAGGUGGGAGGCGCCGAAGCAUUGCCCUAGGGCGGUGCGGAGCCGAUGUUGGGAUACCACCCUUCUGUUGCUGAGAUUCUAACGCGAGGAGUAACGACCCUGCGGACCCUCUCAGGCAGGCGGUUUGACUGGGGCGGUCGCCUCCGAAAGAGUAACGGAGGCGCCCAAAGGUUCCCUCAGGCCGGACAGAAACCGGCCGAAGAGUGCAAAGGCAGAAGGGAGCUUGACUGCGAGACCAACAAGUCGAGCAGAGACGAAAGUCGGGCUUAGUGAUCCGGUGGUACUGGGUGGAAAGGCCAUCGCUCAACGGAUAAAAGCUACCCUGGGGAUAACAGGCUAAUCUCUCCCAAGAGUUCAUAUCGACGGGGAGGUUUGGCACCUCGAUGUCGGCUCAUCACAUCCUGGGGCUGAAGUAGGUCCCAAGGGUAUGGCUGUUCGCCAUUUAAAGUGGUACGCGAGCUGGGUUUAGAACGUCGUGAGACAGUUCGGUCCCUAUCUGCCGUGGGCGUUGGAGAAUUGAUUGGGGCUGCUCCUAGUACGAGAGGACCGGAGUGGACGCACCACUGGUGUUCCGGUUGUGUCGCCAGACGCAUUGCCGGGUAGCUAAGUGCGGAAGAGAUAAGUGCUGAAAGCAUCUAAGCACGAAACUUGCCAAGAGAUGAGUUCUCCCAGAUUUAAAAUCUGUAAGGGUUGUUUAAGACUAAGACGUAGAUAGGUCUGGUGUGUAAGCGGUGCGAGCCGUUGAGCUAACAGAUACUAAUUGCCCGAGAGGCUUAACUAU